CUGGCAAGUACACGGCAAGUAACACAAUGUCCCACCAUGAAGUCACUGAAGUCACUGAAGCCAUCAAGCCACUGUGCCAACAGCACUUCUCUAUAAGCUGGAUGGAAAAGGUUGCACAGUGGGCCGGUUUGAUGGACCAUGAGACAGGACAAGAAGAGAAAACCCAGGCAUUUGAGAGAACGGGGAGAAUCUCAUCGAACCUGUGCAGCGAGAGUUUGGAC